UACGGAGGGUGCAAGCGUUAUCCGGAUUCACUGGGUUUAAAGGGUGCGUAGGCGGAUUGGUAAGUCCGUGGUGAAAUCUCUAAGCUUAACUUGGAAACUGCCAUGGAUACUAUUAGUCUUGAAUAUUGUGGAGGUUAGCGGAAUAUGUCAUGUAGCGGUGAAAUGCAUAGAUAUGACAUAGAACACCAAUUGCGGAGGCAGCUGGCUACACAAAUAUUGACGCUGAUGCACGAAAGCGUGGGGAUCAAACAGG
rnacentral:rRNA from 1 species